rnacentral:rRNA from 1 species
UACGAAGGGUGCAAGCGUUACUCGGAAUUACUGGGCGUAAAGCGCGUGUAGGCGGGUCUUUUAAGUCAGGGGUGAAAUGCCAGGGCUCAACCUUGGAACUGCCUUUGAUACUGGAGACCUUGAGUCCGGGAGAGGUGAGUGGAAUUGCGAGUGUAGAGGUGAAAUUCGUAGAUAUUCGCAAGAACACCAGUGGCGAAGGCGGCUCACUGGCCCGGUACUGACGCUGAGGUGCGAAAGCGUGGGGAGCAAACAGG